ACGUAGGGUGCGAGCGGUAAUCGGAAUUACUGGGCGUAAAGCGUGCGCAGGCGGCUUUGCAAGACAGAUGUGAAAUCCCCGGGCUCAACCCGGGAACUGCGUCCGAUACUGGGUGGCUUGAAUUCGGGAGAGGGAUGCGGAAUUCCAGGUGUAGCGGUGAAAUGCGUAGAUAUCUGGAGGAACACCGGUGGCGAAAGCGGCGCACUGGACCACAACUGACGCUGAGGCGCGAAAGCUAGGGGAGCAAACAGGA
rnacentral:rRNA from 1 species